rnacentral:rRNA from 1 species
ACGAACGCUGGCGGCGUGCUUAACACAUGCAAGUCGAGGGCUCCCAGCAAUGGGGGACCGGCGAACGGGUGCGUAACACGUGAGCGACCUGCCGAUCUGCGGGGGAUAGCCGGCCCAACGGCCGGGUAAUACCGCAUACGUUCAUCAGGCGGCAUCGUCUGGUGAGGAAACUUCAGGGGCAAAUCGAUGCGCUCGCGGCCUAUCAGCUAGUUGGCGAGGUAACGGCUCACCAAGGCUAUGACGGGUAGCUGGUCUGAGAGGAUGGCCAGCCACAUUGGGACUGCGACACGGCCCAGACUCCUACGGGAGGCAGCAGUGGGGAAUAUUGCGCAAUGGACGAAAGUCUGACGCAGCGACGCCGCGUGUGGGAUGAAGCCUUUCGGGGUGUAAACCACUGUUGCCCGGGACGAAACUCCUUUUUCGAGAGGAUUGACGGUACCGGGUGAGGAAGCACCGGCUAACUCUGU